GUGACAACGACAAUGUAGCCAAGGGCUGGAAAGGCCAGCUGGCUGGGCAGAAGGGCCUUUCAAUCGAGGGAGAGAGAUGGAGAGAGAGAGAGAGCGAGAGAGGAAUGGAAUGGAAUGGAGUGAGGUUGGAGGUGGGAGGUUAACUAUCUUAAUGGCUACUUGAAUUUGCGUGUAGAACAUUUACACAUGAGAACUCAAAGAACUGAUUACAAUUUAUUAUCAAUUUAUUAUCACACACACACACACACAACAAAAUGCAUACAAAAAAGAAUGAACAGAAGCCAAGCCGCCACGCAGCAGUUGUUGGCGCUCGUUUUGCGCAUUAGAAAUUCGAAUGAACGAAAGUCUUUUUUUUUACUAAAGAAAUAUUAUAUAUAAAUCGAUAGAUGUAUGUAUAAAAUAACUCGUAAAUUGUAAGAAAGAAAUUAAAUUUCUGCAACAAACUAAAUCUAGAAAGAAAAUGCAAAAUGCAAAAUGCAAACUGAAAACUAAACAACCAAAACUACGACCUAGGAAGAACUAGACCUAGAGCAGCGAUGCGAAAAAGUGAGUCAAGAGAAAUAGUAAAAUAAUAAGUGGAGUGGCAGUGAGAAGAGAGAGAGAGAUUCCAUUGGCAAGCCCAUGAUCGCCCCAACUAUCAUCACAGAACAUAGUGUAUUAAGAUCUAAGCAAUUUUUCUAAUUGAACCAUUUCCAAAUCUUACCGUAAACCCACAAAAGCUACAACUAAAAACUACAAAAAGUGAAGAAGAAAAACAAAGAACAAAACCUUAACAGAAACCGAUGUUUAAAACAUACAAAAAAGAGAUCGAUUCGAGAGAUAGUGAGAUAGAAUACCCAUAAGAUGAUUAAGUUAUAUACAGACAGACCUGUGGGCUGUAUAUGUACAUAAAUAAUUGUAUGAAAUAUUUUGAAUAUCCGUUUUAUGGAUUUAAUCAAGUUUAAUUUUUUUUUUAGCUAAGUUAACGUAAACGUAAACUAUGAUUAAUACUACUAUUAAGCAUUUGAUUGAAAAUAUUUAUUUUAUUUGAUUUGAUUUGAUUUGAUUUUUCCCACUCCUGCCCAACCGAAACCGAAAAGGAAAACAUUUAUUUGUGCUGUUAUUUAAAUAUCUGGGCACCUUGUUGAAAUCAUUUUCGUACUUUCGUAUUUACGUAAGCCCACAGACAUCUACUCAAAGAGCGCUACCAGAACACAGACUGUGGGCCAUUAAGCUGGAACUAUGUAGAGCCUAUGAUUACAUACAUUUACUAUGUUAAAAUAUGUACAGAAUAUGUACAGAAUAUGUACAGAAUAUGUACAGUUUGUUGAGAAAUCCGAGAAAGUAUUUAACCAUUUGUUUAUGAUUUUUAUUUGCAUUUUUGCCAGAGCAGAAGGGCAACAAAUAAAGAAAUGAAGCGAAAAACCUAAGCGAGAACAAA